rnacentral:rRNA from 1 species
GAUGAACGCUGGCGGCGUGCCUAAUACAUGCAAGUCGAGCGAACAGAUGAGGAGCUUGCUCCUCUGACGUUAGCGGCGGACGGGUGAGUAACACGUGGAUAACCUACCUAUAAGACUGGGAUAACUUCGGGAAACCGGAGCUAAUACCGGAUAAUAUAUUGAACCGCAUGGUUCAAUAGUGAAAGACGGUUUUGCUGUCACUUAUAGAUGGAUCCGCGCCGCAUUAGCUAGUUGGUAAGGUAACGGCUUACCAAGGCAACGAUGCGUAGCCGACCUGAGAGGGUGAUCGGCCACACGGGAACUGAGACACGGUCCAGACUCCUACGGGAGGCAGCAGUAGGGAAUCUGCCGCAAUGGGCGAAAGCCUGACGGAGCAACGCCGCGUGAGUGAUGAAGGUCUUCGGAUCGUAAAACUCUGUUAUUAGGGAAGAACAAAUGUGUAAGUAACUAUGCACGUCUUGACGGUACCUAAUCAGAAAGCCACGGCUAACUACGU